rnacentral:rRNA from 1 species
AUGGGCACUCUAGGGUGACUGCCGGUGACAAACCGGAGGAAGGUGGGGAUGACGUCAAAUCAUCAUGCCCCUUAUGACCUGGGCUACACACGUACUACAAUGGCUGGUACAACGGGAAGCGAAGCCGCGAGGUGGAGCCAAUCCUAAAAAGCCAGUCUCAGUUCGGAUUGCAGGCUGCAACUCGCCUGCAUGAAGUCGGAAUUGCUAGUAAUCGCGGAUCAGCAUGCCGCGGUGAAUACGUUCCCGGGUCUUGUACACACCGCCCGUCACACCACGAGAGUUUACAACACCCGAAGUCGGUGGGGUAACCGCAA